UCUGGCUGUAUGGUGACAGAGGAAGGCUGUGGUUAUGUGUCUUCAGCCCUAAGUUCAAUCCCCUCACACCUGAGAGAGCUGGAUCUGAGCUACAAUCACUGAGAUUCAGGAGUCAAGCUGCUUUUUGAAAAAAACUGGAGGAUCCAAACUGCUCACUGGACAAACUCAAUGUUGAUCAUGGAGGAGGAUCCAGGAUCAUAGCAGGACUGAAGAAAUUAAUUGGCAUGGUGAGACUGCAUAAAGAUGCUGGAACAGGAGAAGAGAGGAGGAGAGAGGACUGCUAACUGGUGGACGUAUGGGCAGGAGACUGUUUGCUCUGGAGAGCC